GAGUAUCAUGCCCUCACGGGUAGAUCUCCACCCUUGAAUAACAUGCCUUUGUUGCUUUGGCAGGACGCACUCGUGCCACGGGCUUCGGCUCCUGAGUGCCUGCCAGAGGACCACAACUCUUGUUUUUAGUGAUGUCUGAGUACUAUAUAAUAGUUAAAACUUUCAACAACGGAUCUCUUGGUUCU
rnacentral:misc_RNA from 1 species